UGGGGAAUUUUCCGCAAUGGGCGAAAGCCUGACGGAGCAACGCCGCGUGAGGGAUGAAGGCCUCUGGGCUGUAAACCUCUUUUAUCAAGGAAGAAGAUCUGACGGUACUUGAUGAAUAAGCCACGGCUAAUUCCGUGCCAGCAGCCGCGGUAAUACGGGAGUGGCAAGCGUUAUCCGGAAUUAUUGGGCGUAAAGCGUCCGCAGGCGGCCCUACAAGUCUGCUGUUAAAAAGUGGAGCUUAACUCCAUCAUGGCAGUGGAAACUGUUGGGCUUGAGUGUGGUAGGGGCAGAGGGAAUUCCCGGUGUAGCGGUGAAAUGCGUAGAUAUCGUGAAGAACACCAGUGGCGAAGGCGCUCUGCUGGGCCAUCACUGACGCUCAUGGACGAAAGCCAGGGGAGCGAAAGGGAUUAGAUACCCCUGUAGUC
rnacentral:rRNA from 1 species